rnacentral:snoRNA from 1 species
AUAUGAUGAUCUAUUAGAUGACGAGUCAGAUGAGUAAUUCGGUGUUGACACAACUUUUUUAUUACCAUUCAUGCAAAACUGAGA